rnacentral:rRNA from 1 species
GACGAACGCUGGCGGCGUGCUUAACACAUGCAAGUCGAACGGAAAGGCCCUGCUUUUGUGGGGUGCUCGAGUGGCGAACGGGUGAGUAACACGUGAGUAACCUGCCCUUGACUUUGGGAUAACUUCAGGAAACUGGGGCUAAUACCGGAUAGGAGCUCCUGCUGCAUGGUGGGGGUUGGAAAGUUUCGGCGGUUGGGGAUGGACUCGCGGCUUAUCAGCUUGUUGGUGGGGUAGUGGCUUACCAAGGCUUUGACGGGUAGCCGGCCUGAGAGGGUGACCGGCCACAUUGGGACUGAGAUACGGCCCAGACUCCUACGGGAGGCAGCAGGGGGGAAUAUUGCACAAUGGGCGGAAGCCUGAUGCAGCAACGCCGCGUGCGGGAUGACGGCCUUCGGGUUGUAAACCGCUUUCGCCUGCGACGAAGCGUGAGUGACGGUAGUGGGUAAAGAAGCACCGGCUAACUACGUG